GGAUUGAACCGGGCGCGCCCGGCACGGGGCUGCGGCUCCUGCUCGGGAAAGUAGCUGCAGCUCCGGGCGGCAGUGAGCACGCUUAGCCCCGUGGGCUCUUCACUUUCACAGGGUCAAAAGCUCAAAGGACGGAGCAGUUUGUGGGGCGGAGGCCCUCGGCACAACUCUCCAACUCCCCCGCACUUUCCCUGGAUUUUUGUUGUUAUUUGUUGGGGUUGCGGGGGUUUUUCUGUUUGAUUUUCGGUUUUGCUUAAAAAAGUACUUACACAAGUGCUGAGACCUGCACGUAAAGGCGUGGUUGAUGUAAAGAGGUCACCUGGCCUGUGUGAAGCCGUGCUGCAUGGAAGGACUGUCACCGGGGUGAGCGUGACUCGUUCGGGGUGGAGUCCUUUCGAGAAAUGGAACUACUCCAAUUUUUAUCAGAUGAGGAUGCCUCCCUCUUGCCACGUUACUUUUGGACUGAUUUUUGAGUGCUGUCAGAAUUCCAGGCGUGUGGAAUUGGGACUGGUGGUGUUUGUUUUGUGUAAUGUCCCACUGGAUGUCUUCAAAGGAACCCAAGGUCAUUCAGGUCAUAAGAACAUGCCUGAGGAACUUUGUAGUGCUGCUUGUCUGUAAUACUUAUGCUGUAAAAAAAACAGCUGGGGCAAAGGAGAUUCCAGUCAAGAGGAAGGACUAUCUUGAACACAGAAGACUAAGUGACAUUCCGAAUUUUCAUUUACUAUGUGCAUUUCCUUUGAGUGAUAUUUACCAUCUAGCAGAGGUUUAUGGAAUUCUAGUUCCCUCUAUUAGCAGAUUUGAAAAUACAGGAAUUGUAAAAGUGACAAAUUAUGAUGCAUUUGUGCCCUGUUCAUUUUAUCUGGGGAAAGUGCCAAGUCCUGUUUAGCGAGGGUGAGGGGGUGAGAUGUGCUGCACUAACAUAUGUUCAAAGUGUUUACGAACUACACAGCAAACAUAACCAGCAGAUUUGGUGUUCCUCAAACACUAGGAGAGGGACAAGUUCUCAUUGGAAGAGGAAUAUGCCAGCACUAAGUAUUACCAUGACUUAGCCAGGAUGGCUCAGAUCCCAUAGUUCACUGCCUGUUAAGAUGUGUUUACAAUAUCAGGACCUGAUAGAUUCCGCAUGCAUUUUUGACAGUGAACCUCAUCAGAACAAGAAAAUGUAUUUAUAUGUGCCAGCUCUGCGAUGAAAUUUAUUGUAUGUUCACACAGCACAGAGGAUGGUGUGGCAAGAGGGGUAAAAGCUUGCAAAACAAGACUAACUUAAUUUGGGCUCCCAUGCCAUAAUAAAGUGCAGUAUGGGUGCUCCUGCCUCUAACUGUGGCAACAGGUAGUAUUAUACCCAGGGGUGUGUUGAAAUUAUGUUCUUUACCCGUACAGGAAUACCUGUUAUAUCAGUCUGGUAACCAGGCAGCGUUGGCUGAGCUCCCAUCUGCCUCCAGAGUUAACCCACUUUAUUCAGAACAGCCAGAUGAAUGAAAAUAAAAAGGGUGCAUUCUAGUAUGACACAGAAAUGUUACAGCAUAUGCUCAAAUAUUAAGAAUGUGUCCAAGAGCUGCUAUAAAUCAGCUUUGUUUAGCAGCGUGUGUUUUCUGAUCCCACACUAGGAUUUUAUUUGCCAAUGCAUAAGCUGUAACUUCAAUGCACGAUGAACACAGAUAAUCAGUUGGCUGCCACAAUUAGCUGCAAAGAUUCUGCUGCUGUGUAGAUGUUUGCUCAGAGCUUUUGCACGCUCCCCUAGUGCCCAUGGUAUUAGUAUUCUUAUUAGCAUUCUUACUUACUAGAGUACCUGCCUAUACUGCAGGAGGAAGUGUCCCACAUAAGAUUUUUCUUCUUUCUUCAUGAAAAAAAAAAUUGUGAAAAGUUACUGGAGAAGUCUGGGCUAAAACAUAAUUUAGAUGUACAGGCUGUCAGGAUGGAUUUAAAGGGAGACGUUGGAAAAAAAAGGUAAUUCAUAAUUCUUGCUGAAUAAUAAAGGGAGUGAGGCAGUUCCCUACCAUUUGGGACUUGGAAGAAAUGCUUCCUAAUAAAAAGUAAUGCAAGGUUUCUGACAUGGAAAAAUUAGACACAGCAGGGAAGCAAAAUCAGAAAAAAAGGCUAGAGGUCUGGGAAAAGAGGCAGCAAGGCUGACACCAAUUAACAGAAAGAAAAGUUAGCCAGGUUUUAAUUUAUUAAUUGAAUAUAUAGGAAAGCAGUGGGUUGGAGAGUUAGAAGGAGGAGUUAGAAGGGAUUGGGGGAGAACACAGAAUGGAAACAACAAGGUACAACCAAAGAACUAAUUUAAACCUCCACAUGCUGGAGGGAAGACUCCAAGUGUGGUAGUCAUGAAUAUCUCAUCUGGGCUUGCAGAUCCGUGCCCUGAUGGAAAGCCAGGGCAGCCUUACAUGCAUGUAGGGGCUAGAAGUGAAGAUAAAUGAUAGGGGGAGAAGGAAAUGAAUAACGGUUCUGUUCCAGACCUAAUCUUCAUUUCUCUGCUCUUCCUUCUUUUCAAAUUCUGUUGCUUUUUGUCUUGUUUUAGAUGUUAAACAGCCUGGAGAAAGUGAGAUGCAGAGUUUCUAGUGUACUCUAAUGCACUCUGUAACGUAAGGCCACUAAUUCUCUGAGUGUUCAGCUUCAUUCCAUACCUGUAUCACUGCAAGCUACCAUGAAAAAAAAAUUGCUCCUUUGCUCCUGUGUUACUUUGUUGUUUAUAGCCUAAAGGAGAUGGGAGUUUCCAGCUCCGCACCAUACUUUCUAGGGUAUCAGCUGAUGUGAUUAUUUAGUAUCAGGAUUUUUGCCUAUUCUCAUGUAAGUGCCUCUCAAUAAGACAGAAAGUACCCUCUCUCCUUCAGUAAAACCUUCUGAGUGCCAGAAUAUACUUGUAUGUCUUGCGAUGGUUGAUUUUGGCUUGCUGUGUAUUUCUCAAAAGCUGAGAUAAUGCUGCUAAUGUCUGUGAAGAAAAUAAAGGCUGAUACAUUCCUCUGUAUUGUUGGCCUGCAAAUUGGAAAAAAAUGCUAUGAAAGGAAAAAUUGCUGAUAUUUUUAUGCUAACUUUUAUGUUAAUGAUAUCAUACUUAGCUGCCAGCUGCAAUGCCAUUAACCCUUGAGUCUCUGCUACAUGCAAAAUCACAGCACUGUUUUGCUUUUGGAUUUUAACUUGCCUUUUUCUCUACAAUUUCUAAGUUAUUAGGGUCUUCAGCUAUAGAGGAUAUCCACACGAAUAUUUUGGUCGAACUGUUUUCUCAGAGAACAUACAAAUUUGUGAAUAUUGAGCAUGAAGAAUUUACAGGAGUGUACUCGCUUGGAUAAGGUUUUACUGUGUUUCCCUGGUUACUUCAAAAGAGCCUCAAACCUGCUACGUUCAAAGUGAUCCAGCUGAUUUCUGAGGGACCAGAGAUCACAUCAGCUCUACUUUGCCAGGUUUGAUUCAAACUUAACUGUCACUCUCCCUCAUCUGCAAAUCUGGAUUUCUAUGGUCCACUAAAUAGUCCACUUAAUUUUUAAGCAGAACAACUCCCCAAAAAGAAGCUAAGCGUACAGGCCUGAUUUCCAUGCAGUGGUUCUAGAUGUGCCUCAGUGCUACACGCUUGUGCUGCAUGGUACAACAUGCAGUGCAAACUGCUGUUUUCAUCAUGUAAACUUCUGAUCUAAACUAGGGAGAUGAUUUGUACUCAGGACUUUGAGGUCAUAAGUACUUACGGGUCUACUGACAUAUGCAGUACUCUGUAGGCUAGAAAGUUAGAGUAUAAGGAAAAAGACAUUUCAAAUCCUAAAACAGGUGGGAAAAUCCCAUCCAGCUCUUUUAGUCACUCUUCUCAAUCCUUUUUAAAGCUGUAUUUUUGUUGUAUUCUAUUACUAUAUUUACACUUUGAUGAUUUUGUUACAUUCAUUUGCCUACACUUGUUUGAAAUGCAUCCAAUGCAUUUGUUAAUACAUUUCCCCUACAAUAAACUGUUGUACCUUUGCGUAUUACAUGUAAGAUUCUUAUUUUAAAAU